GUUCUUUCAUUCCAUUGAUAGAAGUCUAACUAGAAAAAGACUCUCUCUAUUACUUUGAGAAGAGAAUCGUUGGUUUGACCGACGAACUACGUGGGAAAAUAGACCUUCUUUCUUUGAUUUGAAGCAAGAUUUUUUGAAAUUCCAUUGAUAGAAGUCUAACUAGAAAAAGACUCUCUCUAUUACUUUGAGAAGAGAAUCGUUGGUUUGACCGA
rnacentral:lncRNA from 1 species